rnacentral:rRNA from 1 species
AGUGAACGCUGGCGGUAGGCCUAACACAUGCAAGUCGAACGGCAGCACAGAGGAGCUUGCUCCUUGGGUGGCGAGUGGCGGACGGGUGAGGAAUACAUCGGAAUCUACUCUGUCGUGGGGGAUAACGUAGGGAAACUUACGCUAAUACCGCAUACGACCUACGGGUGAAAGCAGGGGAUCUUCGGACCCUGCGCGAUUGAAUGAGCCGAUGUCGGAUUAGCUAGUUGGCGGGGUAAAGGCCCACCAGGGCGACGAUCCGUAGCUGGUCUGAGAGGAUGAUCAGCCACACUGGAACUGAGACACGGUCCAGACUCCUACGGGAGGCAGCAGUGGGGAAUAUUGGACAAUGGGCGCAAGCCUGAUCCAGCCAUACCGCGUGGGUGAAGAAGGCCUUCGGGUUGUAAAGCCCUUUUGUUGGGAAAGAAAUCCAUCUGGUUAAUACCCGGGUGGGAUGACGGUACCCAAAGAAUAAGCACCGGCUAACUUCGUGCCAGCCGCCGCAGUAA